UUUGAUGUGGCAGAUUCACUCAAUCUAUAUAAGACAAUAUGAUUUGUUUCAUUGUAGUAUAAUUAGCAACCAUUCGUGGACCUCCAUCAUCAACAUCUAGACUUGGUCUCCACCUACUCAACACUCCCGGCCAGCAUGACACGUGGAAGGUAGCCAAAGGUAACCAUGAACCUAUAAAAGGCUCCUCAAUCACAUCACUAAGAUAAUCAUCUCUCAAAUAGACCAUUCAUAUUCCAAACUAUAUAUCUAUAGUCCAUACUAAGCAAUACGCUCAUGAGAGGUCUCAUCUCACAAAGGGCACAUGCCAUGAUACUUCCUAUCUCUCGUCUCUUCUAUACGUUUGUAUCCCUCUCACGCACUUUGUUUCUAUCCUUCUGUGUCCGCAUAGCUAAGCGCCCUACAAUAAAGAAGACACUUUCAACCGACUUUCCAAUCGAACUACACUUGAUUGACCCAGCCGAUCCGCCACCUUCUUUAAAAUUGUAACGGAUAAUAAUUAUUAUUCAUUCAUGUAUUAUAAUUUUAUAAUUGAAGAUAGUAAAAAUAAAUAAAAAUUGAUUAUACAUAUACACACAAAUUAUAUGUAUAUAUCGUACUCUAUAAAAAAAGGACGUUCAACACCUAGUCAAAUUGUUGGGCAUGAGUCAUGACUCUCUAUCUCCUAUGGAUCUCUCUCUAUUUUGUUCUCUUUGAAUGCCUCUAUUUUCUCCUUAGUGGAUCCUAUCUCCUCCUCUCAUGUGGAGCCUUUUCCUUACACUUAUGAAGAAACCCAGAGACAUGAAUGCAAAAUUCAUCCUAGUACCAAACACAUAUAACAUAUAUAAAUCCAACAAUGAACAAUAUCCAACCCCCAAAACCCCAAAUUCGGGUGCCCCUGUAUUAUGGUGAUGGCAUUCAAUGCAAAAAAAAAAGAAUAGGAAGAGUAAAUAUGAGAAAGAAGAAGGCAAGCAUUAACUGCAAAUCCAAACCUGUUAAGGCCAUCAUCUACAUCCCAACUAUAAGCAACCGUAUUAAAUGCAACAUAUUCACCACCAACAACCACCUUACAAGCUAUACUCCUCCGUCAAAAGAAUAAAAAUUAAAUGAUCUUAGCACUAAAGUAUCCAGACCCCUACAUAGCCUAUACAAUCACAACUGUUGGGAACCUCAAUUCAAAAGGAAAAAAGGAGCAAGAUGGAGUAGAAAUUGCAAGAGACACUACUACUCAAUGAAUAAGGUGGAAAUAGCCAAGUACAAUUACAGAUUUGUGCUAGACCAUAUCAUUUACUACCAUGGGAAGGUGAUGUUUUUGGCACUUAACGCUCAACCAACAAGGUGGAUAUACAUCAUAUCUCAUAACUGCAACUUGUGUAAAGAAGAGAAGAGGAAGUCAGUUUAUAAAUUAAGGAAGAUGAACAAAAGGCACCUGUCUUUCUCCACUUUGACAUCUGCUCAAAAACUCUCUUCUCCUCCCCAAAAUUUAGUUUCAAUUGAGAUGGCGGAAUCCUCCUCCUCCCUUGCAGAAAACAUCAACCACUUUGAAGAUGAGUCUAACUUGUCUCUGACCCCUACUAAGAUCCAAGGUAACAUUGGAGCCUACCACCUGUUAAUAGGAAAAUUCCUCUGCCACAAAAAAAAUCAACAUGGGCAUGGUAAAAGGGGGAAUCGAAAGAGCUUGGUUAGGGAUCCAAGGAGUCCUAGUGGAGGAUGCCAAAGAUAACAAAUUCUUUUUCAGUUUCAAAUCAAAGGAGACCUUACAAGGGUGUGGGAGAGGAGGCCAUGACUUUUAUCAGAAACCACUAUGGUGGUUAAGAGGUGGGAUGGAAGAGGUCUACCGGAAGAGGCCAGAGUUGAUUCUAGCGACUUCUGGCUAUGGGUUUACAACCUCCCAGCCUCCCAUUGCAACUGGGCCAAUAUGGUCAAGAUUGGGAACCUCAUCCCAUUGACUGGGUUGGAUGGGGACAAAUGGAGCCACUACCUGAACAUGACGGUAGAGGUUGAACUCCACUCCUCCCUCUGUGGGAGCUUCAACAUGGAUCUUGAUCGAGCUGUAAAAAAAUCAAUCUUGAGUUUGAGAAGAUUCUAAAUAGAUGCAAUUUCUGCAAUAGACUCGCACAUCAAAUCGGAGAUUGCGAUUGGAAAAAAGAUGAGGGGGUGUAGAUGAAGAACAAACGAAGCCAAAGGAAAAGCUACUGACCUGGGUGAGGGCUCGAGAGGUCUGACCGGAAUAAUGAUAUUGCCGCCGUUGGGGAUCGCCCGAUCCAUCGACUCACCACCGCCGGGCUUCACUAGACUCCAGCUCCUAGGCUCCCCGAUGAAAGAGAAACACCCCCCUCCUCUCCAUGAUCAUUUUGUUAGAGGAUUCCCACUCCCCUAUGCUCCCUAUCCAAUCAGCUAUGAUAGUGGAAGCUAUCCAGUCAUUCACGCCAGAUACUGAAGAUUUCUUCUCAGGACUUGCUAAAGAGAUGAGAUUAAAUUCUAUUCCACCAAUGAAUCUUGAACUAUCUAUGAGUGAUUUAUCAGUCAGUCCGUCUCCUACUCAACUAAAGAACCCUAUUGGGCUAGGAGGAGAUAAAGAGGCUCCUAUUGCUUUUUUUAAGAAAAUGCUCUUUUAUGGCUAUCUCUUGGGCCCAUGCAACAAUGAACCCUCUAUCUUUUUGUCUGGGCAGUGACGGAUCCUCAAAUUGCCUCUAAGAAGAGAAAGACUGAGUGCGCCACUGAGUCCUCCAGGUCCAUCUCUGAAGGGGCAUCGAUGGGGAUACAUAACAUCCUUGAUUCUACUAAAUCCCUCUCUUCCUCUAGUUUUUAAAUCCCAGCAAGCAGCAAUCAGGGCUGGAGCAACAAACUCAAACUGAAAUCAAUGGGAAUCGAUAGGACGAGAGCGAAAGGUCAACGACAAGGAUCAAUUAGUAGAGAUGACGCUUUCAAAGGAAAUGAGCAAGAAACUAACCACCCUUCAACCUCAGGGGAACCUGUGGCAAGCCCAGAGCUGCCUCACCAAAAAUGAGUAUACUUUCUUGGAACUGCAGGGGAAUUGGCCCACCCUUGACAGAAGAUUACUUGUGACGUCUCGUGGGUAGGAUCAGGCUGACAACUCUCUUCUUAAUGGAAACCAAGCAUCAAGAGGCGUAUAUGGAGGAGAAGAGAGUUCUUUUGAACUUUGCCAAUGUUUUCAUAUGAAUCGGGUUGCUACGACGCGGGGUCUAAGUCUGUGGUGGAUUGCGAACUUAGACAUCACUAUCUUAAAUUUUAGCGAUGAUUUUAUCCAUGUUUAGUUUAAAUGUGAUGGUAGUUUCCUUUGUACAUUUUUCCAUGCCCCUACCAACAUUAAUAAGGGAAUGGCCUUUUAGGUUUCUGUUAGUGCUUUGAACACUAACUCGUAGGUAGCUUGGCUGAUUGUAGGUGAUUUUAACGCCGUCCUUUGUGACUAUGAGAAACAAGGGUGCAACCCAAUUCGCUAUUCCUUGGCUCUCGACUUUCGAAACUUUAUGAUGACUAACAAGAUGAUGUAGUUGGCCUAUGUUGGGGAUUAAUUCACGUGGUCUAACUGCCACGAGAAUGAAGCUACCUUGGUUAAGGAACGCUUGGAUCGUGCGAUCGGUCCUGCCCGUUGGCAAACUGAUUUCGGCGAGGCUGGGGGUUACCAUGAGCAAUGUAUUGGUCGAACUAUAGACCAUUGAAUAUAAAGUUUCACCGAAUAACUAGGAGACAAACGCUUGGAUCGUGCGAUCGGUCCUGCCCGUUGGCAAACUGAUUUCGGCGAGGCUGUAGUUUACCAUGAGCAAUGUAUUGGUCGAACUAUAGACCAUUGAAUAUAAAGUUUCACCGAAUAACUAGGAGACAACGAACUCCGUUCAGAUUUGAUGCAAGAUGGCUCCAUAAAGAAGUGUAGUGUGAUUAUUCAGGAUAAUUGUCCUAUGCACUCUCCUGUUGCUGCAAACCUCCAGUCUUGUGCCUCAAAACUCAAGCAACGGUCAAAAUAGGACCAUAAAAAGGUGCUUUCUUGGUUACCAAUAUUGAACUCAAACUGGAAGAGCUGGCUUGCUUGCCCCUCACUAGACAGAAUACUAAUGAAGGGAAAGCUUUGACUAUUAAGCUCAACAAUUUGUGAAACGAUGAGAAUAUGGCCUAGAGACAAUGGUCUAGAAUCCAAUGGGAUCGUGAAGGGGAUAGGAACACCCAUUUUUCCACUCCUCUACAAUCUACAUAAGCAAUAGAAACCAGAUUUGCUCGAUCAAGGAUGACGCGGGAAACUGGAUUUCAGAUGAGAAUGCCCUAGCGACUCAUGCCAGCAAUUUCUACCAAGAACUGUUCACAACUCUCAAUAAAGGGAUGAAUCUAAAUGCCUUUGCUGACAUCUAAUGCUUGGUGCCUCACCAAGAAAACACUGGACUAGAGGCUCCAGUGACUUAUCAAGAGAUAAAGAAUGCCGUUUUUGGGCUUGGAGCGAAUAAGUCUCUAGGCCCUGAUGGGUUCUCUAGGAUGUUCUACCAGAGGUAUUGGGGGUUUAUUGGCGAUGCGCUUUCAAAAGAGGUUAAAGGGUUUUUCGAGCUUGGGUGCAUGCCUUAGGGAUGGAACGAUACACAUAUCACCAUCAUCCCCAAGAUUCCUAUUCCUGAGUUUAUGUGCCACUUCAGGCCUAUUAGUUGUUUCAACUUUAAUUACAAGGUGAUUUAAAAAACUAUGGCCAAGCAUAUGAAGAAGUGGAUCCCUAACCUGGUGGCGAAAACGUAGGCAGCAUUUAUCGGUGGAAGGAUGAUACAAGAUAAAAUUAUUAUUGUUCAUGAACUACUUCACCAAUUCAAAAUUAAGAAGAAAUGGAAGAAAUACGAUAUGAUGUUAAAGCUCGAUAUGCGUAAGACUUUUGACUUGGUGGACUAAGACUGCCUUGACUAUCUCCUCCGCGUGUAUGGUUUUUCAGAUCGGUGGUGUCGGUGGGUUAAGGAAUGUGUUAGGACUGGGAGAUUCUCUAUCCUCUUCAAUGGCUCUCUGACUGCAUUCUUUGACCCAUCAAGGGAAAUUCGAUAGGGAGAUCCCCUCUCCCCUUUCUUGUUUAUCCUUAUGUCUAACGCUUUAUCCUUUCUAGUGGAGAACGGAAUGAUUAAUAAUGCUAUUCAUGGUAUCUGCCUGAGACCCUAGUGCCCUAAGAUCUUUCACUGCUUGUUUGUAGAUGAUUUUGUUAUUUUUGGUCCGGCUUUAGUUGGUGAAGUUGAUUCAAUAAUGCACACUCUCUCUUCUUAUGGGACCUUGACAGGGCAGGAAGUCAACGUCAUUAAACCUUUGGUCUUCUUCAGUGCUAAUACUCCAGAUGAUCGUAUGCAUGUUAUCCAAGAGCGGGCGACUUUUAAACCUAAUGUGAGCCACUCCAAGUACCUUGAAGUCCCAACUGAAUGGGGUAGAUCUAAGAAAGAAACAUUUUCUUAUCACAUUGAGAGAAUGCAAAAGCAAAGCAAGGCUGAGAAGAGUUUAAUGCUUUCUCAUGCAGGAAAAGAAACACUUAUCAAAGAUGUGGUCCAAGCAAUCCUGAGCUACAUUAUGAGCUUGUUUAAGCUCCCCAAGUUGAUUAUUAAAAGAAUGAACUCGUUCCUCAGAAAAAAAAUUGGUCCGGUUCAGCUUCCAAGCGAUAUAUCCAUUGGGUUAAUGGUUCCCAUUUGUGUGCUUCUAAAAGUGAAGGGGGCUCGGUUUCAUGGAUUUCAGUUUCUUCAAUUAUCCCCUUCUUGUUAAGCAGGGAUAGCGGCUCAUUAACAAUCCUAACACCACUUGGGCACAGGUGCUUAAGGGCUUGUACUUCCGGAAUGGGAGUUGUCUUACAGCAAAUAAGGGUCGCAGAAGCUCAUGGAUUUGGCAAAGCCUUUGUGAUGCACUCAAAACGUUGGGUCUUAGAGCUGUUAGAGUGAUCGGUUCGGGCAGGGAUACGCUCGUUAACACCGAUCCUUCGGUCCCGAGCUUCCCCGACUUCAAACUCUCGUCUAGCCAUGAUGAUCUUUUGCUUGUUAGUGACCUUGUUGACCAAUCCACCCGCAAAUGGAAAGGUGAUUUAAUUCAAGAGUUCAGCAGCGAUUCUCAGGAUUCCGAUUGGUCCUCCAAAUUUCGAUGAUUUCUGGGCUUGGAGCUUUGAGGCGACAUGGAGGUUCUUCGUUCGGUCUGCGUACCAUGUGACGCGGUGGAAUGAAGAAGUUGUUAUCCAUAACGUCGUAGUUAAUCGAAGAGAAUUGUGGAAAUGGCUCUGGAACCUCUCGGUUCCUCCGAAUAUCCGUUUUUUCUUAUGGAGAAUCUCAUCCAACGCUCUUGCUAUGAGAACUAACCUGAUGUUGAGAAAGUGUGCAACGUGGCCUACCUGCCCUAUGUCUGACCAGGAAGAAACCAUUUUCACUGUCUCUUUGAUUGUAACCAUGCUAGGCUUACCUGGCUCAUGUUUCCUAAUAUCCUUACCCUGCUUCGGAUGCUUCGAUCUUUGAUUGGUUUGCUAGUUUCACAGGGGACCGUUUAAAGGCCACGUACUCAGCAGCUAUUUGCUGGCAGAUUUGAAAGGCGAGUAACGCUCUUGUUUUCAACAAUUCCCGGCCGGUCGACCACAUCACAACCUCUUGGAGCUGUAAGGAUAUGGAUGAAUGGAGAAUCGCUUGGGGAAACAUCUCCACACUUUGACUGCUUGCUCUAUUCCCAGUCAUUAUACUCCAGACACACCGCCUAGUAAUCCCCUCCGGGUGAUUCACUGUGAUGGAUCAUUUUACAUGAUUCCUAGUCGCCAGCUUAUGGCAUUACUAUUUCUGAUGUCCAUGGUUUUGUUUACGAUGGCAGAGUUGGGCAUGCGUUUCUUCGCCAGUGGCAGCAGAGGCUAGUGCAAUUCAAUAUGUGGUGGAGUAUGCUGUGCAACACGAGAGUCACUCCAAUGUUCUAUCGGAUUGCCAAAUGUUGGUCAAUAUACUCAAUGAUGGGACAAACCAUUAGCCAUGGGAGUGUGCUUCAACGAUUGCUAACAUUUGCAAGGCUCUCAUCAAUGAUCGAUGGAUAAAGCUCAACUUCAUCCCGUGUAAUACGAACGGCCGUGCGGAUUGGGUAGUGACAGAAUUCAUUCAUGGGCGGCUGCCUACGAAUUGGAUCGAUCAUAUCAAUUCCAUCUCGACUUCUAUGUAAUAUUGUUUUCAAUGCUUGUACUCUGCUUGCCACCUCCUUUCCGGGGGGAGUUACAUAUAUAUGAUAAUCUUCUCAAAAAAAAAAGUGAUGACUCUCUCUCUCUCUCUCUCUCUGUCUGUGAUGAGCUAUUGCGUGACUGUUCAUAUAAACCAACGAGUCACAGGCAACAGCCUAACUUAUCCAAUCACAAAAUGCCAAACCAUCCCUUAAAAAAAAGAAUCUUCCAAAUAUAACGUCCACUUAGUUUAUUUUUUAUUAUUAUUUUAUCAGAGACUAGGCCUCACAAGGUGUACAGUGGAGUCGACCACACCCUACACACAACUCCUUCCCUUUCCUUCCUACCAACACCAUAUUCCUCUCUCCUGUCCUUGAGCAGAAAACAGCUCAAGAUCAGUGUGUAAUUUACAGCCUGUUUCUUCACCCCCCUCCUCAAUUCGCCAUUUAUUAUUUCCUUUAUUAUUAUUAUCAUCACCACAUCUCCCCUUCCUAUAUUUUGAUUCCAUUCUCCAACUCUUUCUUCUUCAAUUCCCUUCUCCGGCGCCCACUAAUUCCUUCUCCGGUAGAAUCCUUUGACGAACCCAAAACAAUGGAUCCGUGCCCUUUCGUGCGGAUCCUCGUCGGCAAUUUAGCCCUCAAGUUCCCCGCCUCCGUCGAUGCUUCCGAAUCGUCUUCCACUUCCCUUGCUAUGAUCAAGUUCAAGGGUUUCUCUACCCAGCUAGCUACUAUCCCAGUCGUACUCGAACAGGACGAUCUCCUCCGCCGCCGACACCAUCUCCAUCACCACCGCCACCGCAACUCCUCUCUCCAGUCCUCCGCUUCCUCUGCCUCCGCUGCUUCCUCUUCCUCCAAUCCAAACUCCUGUAGUAAUUCACUUGCGGCCUGCUUCAAUCUCGAUAAGAACCAGAUCGAUAAAUUCGUCCGCUCCUCCACUAAGAAGUCCAGUAGCAGUUUGACUGUCGAGAUUUAUGCCAGUGAGGAUGCGGACGUGCCUGCGUCUUCUUCGUCUUCCGCCGCUGCCUGUUGUUUCUCCAGGCGUAAGUUGAUCGGGACGGUGGUUGUACCCCUCGACCUCCUCAAGGCCGAGUUUCGUCCCGCAGUGAUGCAUAACGGUUGGGUACCGAUUGCUGCAAGGAAGAAAGGAGCGGAGCCGGCUCAAUUCUUUCUCAAUGUUCGGGUCGAGCCUGACCCGAGAUACGUUUUCCAAUUCGAAUCGGAUCCGGUUUGCAGCCCUCAAGUGUUUCAGGUUCAAGGAAACGUCAAGCAAGCCGUGUUCACUUGCAAGUUCAAUUUGAGAAACCAGGGAGAUCGAAGCUUAGUCUCACGGUAGGUUUUGUUUCCUGUUUUUAGCUUACCUUUUCCUGUUUGGAUGUUGAGAAAUUAGGUUACAAAUUUUAAUCCAGAUCACUGAUUUUUUUUUCUUCCUCUGUUCCAAUUGAAUGUUCAGGCAAUCAAUGUCGGGCUCGAGCACGCCGAGAAGUUUCCUGCCCUGCGGUGGCGGAGACGGAGGAAGCGAUACGAAAGACCAAUUCACCAAAGAGAGGAAAGGUUGGACAAUUACAAUCCAUGACCUAUCCGGUUCUCCAGUGGCAAUGGCGUCAAUGGUAACACCGUUUGUGCCUUCCCCUGGUUCCGAUCGGGUCAGCCGAUCGAAUCCAGGAGCCUGGCUGAUUCUCCGACCGUCAUCAGGCACCUGGAAAUCCUGGGGACGACUCGAGGCUUGGAGAGAAGCCCGCAAACAUCUGGGAUACCGCUUCGACCUUCUCCACGACGGGAUCACCGCUACACCGACCACCUCCACGCUCGUAAACUCCGUCGUUAACACGAAAGGCCGAGGGAAAUUCAACAUCGACAUGACCGGGGUAGGUGCAACUCCGGUAUGCAGCCCACACAGCAGUUGUGAUUUCGGGUCGGGAUCUGGAUCAUGGUCCGGGUCGGAGAUCGGGUUGGGGAUGUUGACCCAGCCGAUGUACAAAGGGUUCGUGAUGUCGUCGACGGUGGACGGGAAAGGAGGACAGCCGGAGGUGGAAUUGGGGAUCCAGCACGUGAACUGCACGGAGGACGCGGCGGCGUUCGUUGCGCUGGCGGCAGCGGUGGAUCUGAGCAGAGAAGCCUGCCGGGUAUUUCCUCGGAAGCUAAGGAAAGGGUUGAGCUUGUGACAGCUGAGCUGAGUCAGUAAUUUCUUUCUUGUUUUUGUUUUUUUGUCGUUUAAUUUGGAAAGGGUUGUCGUUUUUGUCACAACUUACAGCAGUUUGUGAGCUGGAUUGUACAUGCUGAGAGAGGUUAAAAAAGCGAUUUGUAUUGAGAAAUUUUGUACAGUGCGGAAUGAGAGAGAAACGUUUUUCUUAAUUUAUUAUUGGUUUCUUUAUUUUUUUUCUGGAUGAGAAUCCAAUGCAUGCAGCUAGCAAUGACGUGGCAUUAUGCCUCUACCAUACAUGUAAAAGAAAACAAAGCUCAUACGUAAUAGUUGUCCGUCCACUUAUGGUGAAUUCAACAUGUCAUUAAUUAGCUUAUUAGUUAUACAAUUUGAAGUUGAAUGAGCCUUAACAAAUCCAAUCUGACAUAUUCUUAAUGGACAUUUGAUCAGAAUACUGUAAUUUAAUCUACAAAUAUUUGAAUGGUUAUGGUGUGAUGAAUAGGUUGGUGAAAUUUUCUCACUAUACAGUUAGCUUAUUUCGUCCUGGAGAUGAGGCGGACAAACGGCUAGCUACAGUCAUGGCGCAAUUUCAAGGGCAUACGACAUUGAAAUCAUUCAUAUCUACAAAAGGGCAAUCAUGCACUUGAAGCUAGAGCAUUCCGCACGAGAUGUCUAUAAGCAUACACCAUCAUACUAGGCUUUGAUCUAAAUUAAAUUCAUGUGUUGUGUUUUCAGUGUUUUAUAAACUCAUUUUAUUAACAACAAAAAAGACAGGACACUGUGUCAAAUUUUGUUUAUAUAAACACAAUCCCAAAAGGCCAAAAGAUUAGUAAAGAAAAAGAUUACAAAAGGUGGCAUAACGAAAGUAAGCGUUUGAACGAUAUAUUAGGGAUUUUGACGAUCAAACUUGUUAGUUAGGCGGGGAAGAAGAAAUGGAAUCGAUUGGGGGGAAAUAGUUACAAUCCAUUCUCAAUCAAAAGAAAUAAUAAUAAUAAUNNNNNNNNNNNNNNNNNNNNNNNNNNNNNNNNNNNNNNNNNNNNNNNNNNNNNNNNNNNNNNNNNNNNNNNNNNNNNNNNNNNNNNNNNNNNNNNNNNNNNNNNNNNNNNNNNNNNNNNNNUGAAAUUUUAUUUAUUGUUUAAGAUUUAAAAUAUAAUAAUAAGUAUUUAGAAUCUAAUUAAGGACUUUAUAAUUAAAAAAAUUUAAUUUAUAAUAAAAAAUCAAAAUUUGGAGAUCCAGAAAUUGUAUAGAGAGUACACGAGCAGAGAGGGGAAGAAAAACAAUUAUAUAUAGAGCACACACCAGACCUGCCCAAGCAACAUCAGGCCAGCCCUCAACAUUUACAACACUAUAUAAACAAGUAGAAAAAAAUUUAAUACGUAAAUCGAAAAAAACUGGUAUGCUGAAAUAAAUACAUUAAAUAAAUUGAAGUACAACACUUAAAAACAAGUAUUAAGAAAUAAGCAAUGGGGAUUAGCAUUUAGCAAAAGAAUAAUAAUGGUGAUCUUAUACAAUUUUCAAAUGAUUAUUUAUUAUCAAAAUAGAGCAUUAAUGGAGCUGAUGUGUCGGCCCAAGCCCCAAGGGGGUUUUCUUGUUGUUGUUGUUGUUGUUGUUGUCAACCCUGAAGUUAGGUUGUGUUACGUGUAUGUGUUCAUUUUAAUUUGAAUUAAUCACCGUUAACAAUAAUGCUAUUUAUUAAUUAUUAACUCUCCUGGUUAACUGUGGGAUAUUUUACCAUCAUGUAAAACUGAAAUGAUUGCUCUUUAACCAAACUAGGCAAGUGGCCGUAUGUAGACUAGACAAAUCUUCGUCUGCGAUUUUCAACACUUAUGUUGUCGGAGCUCUGUUUAGGGGCUCCUGACCUCCCCUUCCUUUACUCUUUCUUAUAUAUGAUUAUAACUGUUAGAAAAGCUCGCCGGAAAAUGUUAUCAUAGAUUUGUCGGGCGGCAGGUGACUGGAUUUGUCAUAUUUGCCCUCUCCGAUUUGACUAUCAAGUAUAAAUCUUUGGAUUAUAUCGAGUUGGAGAUGUAACUUGUAACUAUCUUCAUGUUGGUCGGGGUGGCUUGGGGUUCCGGCUCACUCCAGUUUCGGUUCGAACCAUUAAUUUUGGGUACAUAUUUACAACGUUUACGAGUUCGGCUAAGGGAAAUUUUGAGUUCUCCUCAGUGUUUGGUCGUGUCAUAACUAAAACCAGUGAGAGUCACGACUAUCUUGUUUUUUGGUCUCGAAUAUUAAAUUAUAUGUAAAAUUUUAAUGAUUUCAUAACUUGGCUAAUAGUAUUUGAAGUGAUGCGUAAGAUAAUAAACCCGACAAUGGCACAUAUAUCAUAUUUUAAACUAAAAGUAGUACAAUGAAUUUAUUUUUAUUUUAAAUUAGUAUUAGGAUUAAUCCAUCAAUUAAUUACUCAAUACACAUAUAAAAUUUCGAUUCAAAUCCGACUCAGUGCAUUUUUCCAUUAUGAUUCUGCCAUGAUGAUGGUUCAGGUUUGUUGAGAUCGAGAUGUUAGUUAGUUGAAGCUUUUUACUUCUGGUUUUCCUCAUGGACAUGGUCGAUCAAGUGCUUUUGAAUGAACUUUAGCAUGGCUCGUAGUUAUAUUAUUUUCGGUUCAAAGAGUGAUUGAUUUGAUUCAUUAUCGGCACUUUGUUGUGUUGAUUGGACUUGGUUAGCCAUUAGACUAUGGGUUAUGGCUUUUGUGGAGUAGUGUUAUUAUUAUGUAACAUCAUAUUUUCCUAUUCAGUCAUUUAUUUAAACUUUUACGAAUCUCUUUGCAUUCAAAUUUGAUUUUUUAGUGUUCCUUAAUAUUACUUAAGUUGACCCAAAGUUUGAGCGUUUUAAGAAUAUUCUUCUGCACUUACUUCUUUAUCUCACAAGCCACCUUUCAAGCCAUAUUUAAAUGGAGAUUCUUCUCUUCUUUGGUGUACUGCUUCUACAUUCUGUUGUUGUGUCCUUGACUAUCCUCCCUAUGCAGAUUUACAAGAUUUAAUGCUUGUGGACAAAAAAAGAGAUCGGGCUUCCUUUGAGGAUACAGAUGAUGGAGCGGAUUUGGCUACUACUCCAAAGAAGCAACUAUUGGCUUCACCGCUGACAAUGGAUGACUUCCCACCACAUGCUUUAAACCUUGAAAUGCUUCCAGAUGAUAUGCUUGAUGAGGAUCUAGAUAUGAUCAUGUGUCGGCAACCUUGUCUACUUCGACGGUGGUAAAGGCCCACCUAGAGAGGCCCGACUCGAUCAAAUGGGCAUUCUCGCAUGGAACUACUGAGGGUUGGGUGGUUCCCUCAUCAAUGACACUUUCUGCAAUCUCAACAACCGCUAUCAUCCUCGUUUUCUCUUCCUUUCGGAGACUAAAUCUACCUCUGAUGGUGUGAAUCGCUUGUUUCAUUCCUUAAACUUCCCCCGUUCUAAUAAGGUUGUAGUAGAUUGUAGUUCUGAUUUUGUGGGAGGCCUUGCCUUAGACUAGCAUCCUGAUUGUAGUUUAGAUGUUGUUGAUCCAUCUACUUUCUGUAUUGAAGCUACAACUCUAUUUCAUAAUAAUGCCAAAGUCUUAUUAUUGGGUGUUUACCUUUCAUGUUACCCCUCCAUUCGUGCUACUCAAUUUGAUCAAUUAUCGAAGCUUAUUUGAUCUGUCGAUUUUCCAACGUUUGUGUUUGAUGAUUUUAAUGUACUAUGCUCUUCUUUUGAGAAAUCGCGAAUUCUGCCUAUCCGACAACAUCCCGUGGCUUGAUUUCGAACCUUUAUCAGUGAUUUAGGUCUAUAUGACCCUUGUUUUUUAGGACCAUCGUUUACUUUGUUUAAUCGGAGUCACACUAUGAAUCUUCUUGUACAAUGUAGAUUGGAUCGGUUCUUAUUUUUGGAUGCUCUCAUUUCUCAAUUUCCUAAUGUUUCAGCUCUCACCUUACUUAUUUUGGCUCUGACCAUCGAUCAAUUCUUCUUGAACUGUCACCGGAUCUAUCACGUCAAGUGUGAAACCCCGAUUUUGGGUUAAUUAUUGUUUUUGGGUUUUGUUCGGUUUCUCCGUGUUCUCUAGAAAAAGGUUUUCCGGAGGAUCAUCACGGGCGUGACUGGCAGUCUGUCACAGGCAUGAUCACCAGGUAGAUCACGAUCGUGGUUAGUGGUAGUCAUGAUUGUGCUGACAGGAGAAUCACGGCCAUGACCAACAGUAGGCCACAUGCGUGGUAGUCAUGUCAACAUGGGAGUGGUGGCCAGUAGGCCACAUGCAUGGUGGAUCGUGUAUAAAAUCAGAGUCGCGAUUCAAGAAGUUUAGAAUUGCCAAAACCUAAUUUUUGCAAUAUCACUGUCAAGCGGUGAUUGCUCCCGGGAAGAGGGGAGGACCUUGUUGAUCGAUCCCACACCGGUAGGAGAGGUUUGGAGAUUGUUGAGGAAGUUUCAGUAGGUCUUUUGGAUCGACGAUCGAGCUCUAGGGAGACGGUUUCAUAUCAGACUCUUCAGAGGAAAGCUCUCAGAUGUAGGGGUUAGGAUUACUUUUCUGCUUUAUGCGAAGAACUGUAAUUUAGUUGUCAGAAAUCUUUGAAUGGAAUUUCAAGACUGUAUAGUAGCGUGCGAUAUACUGUACAUGUUUUAUGAUUAUAGAGCCGAGCUCUCAGGCCGUACGGUGCCGUGUGAUCUAUUGCACAUACUGUUAUUAUUUAAGCUUAGUUUCUCACAGAUGAACGGUGGUGCAUGAUCCACAGUUCCUAAUAGUUCAGUCAGGAUAGACCUACUAGGUUAGUACAUGACUACAAUACGUCGGUCACCCACCUCAUGGAUUAUGCAAUCCCCCAGGUUACUGUCAGAUUCAGGCAGAUGUGACGAGCAAGCCUUUGAGCUAGUCUCAUGAUUCUUCAAGGUGGUCUAAUAGUCUGAUCCACCAUGAGGCUAUCUGCUCUUAGCUAGGGGUGGCUGGCGAUAGGAUGACUUGAGUAGGAUCGCAUGGUCACAUUAUUAGUUUCAGCGUUUCGAUAGACUUCUUGUUGUAUCUCCAGUGAAGGCCAGUGCAGGCGCAGUCACAUCUUCGUUCAGUUUUAGUUCAUCUCUUUACUUGUUUAGUCACUCGAUGCUUAUCACUAAUCCCGUUAGAUAUUAUUUUUCUUGGUGUAUUUGUGUGAUCAGUCACAGGUACUGGAGUUGAUGGUGGAGAGAGAGUUGGUUGGGAUUUUGAUGUCUUUGAUAUCGUUUUGAUGUAUUUUCAUACUAAAGUUGUAUCUCCUUUUGACUUGUUAUGUUUUGGAUUCGGGAUCCGAAUUGGUGGGUUUAUUUAAGUAUUUCAGUUCAGUUUUUAAUGCUUGUAUUUAAUGUUUGGAUAGUACAUUAGAGUAGAGUUCUGGUUCAGGUUGAGACCCGAGUAGGACUCUUCGGUUGAACCAGUGGUUCGACCGAAACUCAUUGAGUGGGGUUCACAUCAAGGGCCUCUAUGUUUUAAAUUUGAUAAUCAAUGGCUUUCAAAUGAGGAAUUACCAGCUAUAGUUUCGGCUGCUUGGUUGAUUCCCGUUCAAGGAUCUCAGCUGUUUAUUCUUCACUCGAAACUUAAGCUGGGAACUUAGCACGCCUCGCAACGAUCAGGUAUUACGAACUUAGCACGCCAAAUCAGACUUCUUAAAGAUGCAAUUUCAGAGCUCCAAAAUCAUAUCCAAGUACUUUGGGAUCCAAUAUGCCCGGUUUGUGGAUCAACAAACGAAUCCUUAGUUCAUUUCCCAUUUUCUGCCAUGUUAGUGUUCAACUGGUGCACCUUUUGGUCAAUCAACACCCGACAUUUUUUUGGCAACAAGUCUGUAGUUCGGAUUCUUUUCUGACAAUUAAAUUGGUCUACUUUUGGUGGCGACUUUGGAAAUCAAGGAAUUGUGUAGUCUUCAAUCAUUACCAGCAAUCUAUCUCUUCUCUCCGACGUCGAUUUCCUCUCCACUGGUCCGAAGGUGCUCGGUGGGCGACCUCAACCCGAACGGUGAGAACAGGAAUUGAUAUGAUAUCUCAUUCACGGAGAUUGGAGGCAAUAACGCAUUCCUUGAGUUUUAAUGUUGACGCAGCUGUGCAAAUGAGUUCCAGCGAUGGUAAUCAGAUUGGUUUUGGUGCAAUUGGUAUGGUUCUUUGAAGAGCAUGCAGAUCUCUGGUGUCAGCAACAGGAUGUGUAAUACCUUACGGACUCCCUAAUCUUAGAAUUUAUGCAUGUUCGUUAUGCCUUGUUAGCAGCUCGUCCGAGGCUUCAUGAGCAGAUUAACAUUUAUUUAUAUUCGUUAGAGGCAGUCCGUUUAAUCACAGGCGUUGAUGACGACAUCCGCACUGGUCAACUACUUCAAGAAUGCAAGAAUCUUUUCAGCACUUCUCUUCGAUCUCUCUCCAGUAUGUCCCUCGUAAUGGUAACUGCGCCGCCCAUUCAGUGGCACGUGAGCCUCAUCGUUAUCCUUCGAGUUGACGUCCUCUCUCACUUGCUUAUUGUAUCCCAUCUUCCUAGUGUAUCCUCUACUUAUGUAAUUUGUAUUUCCUUUUUAACGUUGUGUAUCAACCCCAAUACCUCUGAAUAAAAAAAACGAUAUCGGGCCGACCCUGAACUGGACUUUAAACCCUAAUUUAUUCCGGACAAAAAUUAAUUUGUAAAAGACUAGAAUACCCCAGCAUUUAUUUGAAAGACAAAAGUUGAAAUUGAUCCAACGGUCCACGUGAAUCCUUGAAAUUCUUGACCAUAUACCAUUCUUGAUAAAAUCUGUCCUAACUUUCUACUUACAGGCACGAGCCUGGCCCAAGUUUUGAUCCGAGUAGUUCAUUAAAUAAUAUAGGCUUUGGCUGAGCUAGUUUCUAUUUGCCGGCUUGACGAGUGAUCUUUGAGUUCUGUCCAAGAGAACUUAUCAAAUCCCUAUUCAACCCUAAGGACCAAUUUACCCACCACUUGAACGUUUUAGGUAUUUUUCUUUUACGGGGAAUCUAUAGAAUUAUGAUUGAUUACUAAUAGAAAUUACAUUAUCAAUUAUAAAUUGAUCCACUGAAAAAAUAAGAGGUCCAUUUAUCUAAAUAAUUAGACUACGACAAAGUAUAAAGUAUGAAGCUAUGAGUCAUGAUAUGAAUAGCCAUAUUAACUUUUCGAGAUCAUCCUCUAAUUUGAAUUGCCCCUAAUUUAAUCCCAGUCCAACUUUAAUCUUGCAGAUGUUGUGUAGCUUUCUCAUUUGAGGGCUCUUUUUGUAGACAUCGUGAUUUUGGAAAUAUAAAUUUGGAAUUUUAUUAAACAAAAUAAUCAAUGAAUUUUUGGAAAAUUAAUAUCAGUAAGUUGUAUGAAAAAAAAUUAAAAACAGGCCAAAAUAUUAAGUAAAUUGUCAAAUGUAGUUUGAAUUAUUUAAAAAUUUGGAUUUUUCUAUUAAUGGAGUUUCGCCAAAUUUUUCAUCCAAAUUAACGAAACACUCAAACACCCUAACUAACGUACCCGUUGAUGUGGAAAUUAAAUACCAUUUAAAAUUAAAAUAAGGAAAAAUUCAAAAUAAAUAAAUGAAUAAUGAAGACAAAUAAUUUUUCAUCAAAGACCUCUUGCUCGUCCCUCCUGCAAUAGUUGCAGGUUCAACAAGUAAUCACAUUCGUCCAGUAUAAUUCUUCAUCUUCAUUCUAAUUUGGUUUCCAUAAAAACUAAUUUUUAAUCAUACAAAAUAGCAAAACGUAUCUAAAUAAAUCAUAAAGAUUGCAAAUCAAAUCUAAAUAAUUCUGCCGGCGAUUGACCUAGAAUCGAGUGAAACGCCGACAAUUGAUCUAGAAUCUGAUUGGCCAGAGAUUGGAAAGGCUUCGUAAUUCCGAUGACGAUUGUUGCCAAUUUUGUUGAAGAUGAAGAUGGGCCUGGAGAUAGAAACGAGACACAUGAUGAAGCUGCAAAGAGAGUGAAGGAUAGAUCCAAACCUUUAAAAUGUUAGUCUCGAGGGGUCGCCGUUGCAGUCACGGCCUUUUCGACCAGUGGAAAGAUGGAGUGGCGGUGGGGUUGAGUGAUGGAGGUGAGAUUUGGGUUGAGGUUUGGAUUAGAGUUAGUGGGUGGCCGCUGCGGGAAGGGCGGAGAAGGUAGAUUAGGGAUUUUUUUGUUGUUGUUCAUAGUUCUAAAUUUGUAAAGAAAUGAUGACUUGGCAUUUAGUAUACUUAAAUUCCCGAUGUGGCAUUAGAUGCAGUAUUAAUUUGACGUUAGUAUCAUAUUAGCUCUGUCUGUUUGGUUAUUAACGAUGUUAAAAAUUUAAUGAAAAUUUUGGUCAACAUACUAAAAUUGAUAGACGAUUGAAAGUAAUGAUCAAAAAAUUAUAAUAUAUAUAAUUUGGAUUAAAUUUUACAACUGAAUUAAAAUUUUGGAUAUUUUUAUGAAUGGUGAAAGUGAGAGAAGUUUGGAGAAAAAUAGUGAAAAUGAGAAACGUACAUGGGAAAUGUCUCCUAUUUUAUCCACUUUGUCAUAUGUUAAUGGUGACAAGUUCUGUUUAUAUAGUCUAUUUGGAUAAGCCUAUUGUAGCCUAAUCAUUGGUUGUAGAGAGUAUUGUUAGGCGAUCUGUGCGUUAGAAUUGUGGCGGUUCUUUUAAAAUUAGGGUAAUCUCUGAAUACACUUUCUUUUUCGAUGGGACUAUUGGUAGGCAGUCAUAGAGGUCACGAGGCCCGUUCUUAAAGGUGAAAGGCCCAUUUUCCUUGGUCACAAACCAUACAGGCGACUCCAUUCCGGCUAUUGGGUAUGUCGAGCAAUUUAGACCGAAACGAUGCAUUGACUCGAACCAAAAUGGCCCAUCAGAUUUGGACGAUGCCAUUAGACUAAAAUCGAACACAAAUCCUAAAUCGAGUCGAAUUUAAACAGUAUAAAUGAUAGAGGUUCUAAUACAAAAUUUUUAUUAUUAUGGCAAACGCUUUACUAUCCGAAACCACAUGAUGUAAUAUUAUUAAUUGAAUUUUAAUUAAUUGAAACAUGAACAUUUAACACUUAAAGUAUAAACAAUUUACAAUUACAUCACUAUUAUGUUUACGUCAUUAUCCCGUUAACGAAAUUAACUUCAAUUAUCUUCCAUUACCUGUCUGUUUGGAAAAGAAAAAUCGACUCCACAUUUAAUUUUUUCAUUCUUUUUCCAUCAUCUGAUCAAAUAUUUCCUUCAAACAAAAUUUACAAAAUAUAAAAAAAUCUUGAUUAAUCCUAAUCCGAAUCAAACCUAACCAAAAGAUUCACCCAAUGAUUAACCUAAUCAGAAAGAAAAACCCUGCAUCUGUCAUCUUCCAAAAGCGCCGCCGCCGUAGAUUCCAAAAUCGGCAGACCUCAUCUAAGAUUCAGAAUCUAUCAUCGUCCGAAAACGCAGCCGCCGUAGAUUCCAAAAUCGUCAAUGGCCCAGCUUUCGUCUUUGCGAAGGCCACUUCUCCUUCUCAAAAUGGAAGGUUGUAACCAUAUCUGAAUUGAAGGUUGCUUUAGAGUAAAAGGGAUAUUUGAAUUGCUAUGGCAAUCAAAAGAAGAAAGCUUCAAUUUCAAUCCGAAAUCAAAUUUGAUGAUCGAAUGUCAUGUGAGAAGACAAAGUUCAUCUAUACAAAAUUACACAUUUUAUUUAUCAGGUAAAAAGGUUGAGAUAUGAAAUUUGGAAAACAAUAAAGUGCAAUAUCAAAUUAUUAUAGAGGUUGUGUAAACCGUGUUAAGUUGGAUUUGUUGAUAAUUUUGUUUUUGAAAGAUUGAAUGAUUAAAUCGUACGAUAAGUCUAAACUUAAACAUUCUAAAAGAAAAAUGUGUACAUUAAUUAUACUAGAUAUUGUUUGGCAUGUUGGCUGAUUUGAGAUUUUUUUUCUCUUAUUUAUUAUUUACAAAUUAAAUAAAUCAAUUAAUAGUUUUUUAACCUGUCAACUGANNNNNNNNNNNNNNNNNNNNNNNNNNNNNNNNNNNNNNNNNNNNNNNNNNNNNNNNNNNNNNNNNNNNNNNNNNNNNNNNNNNNNNNNNNNNNNNNNNNNNNNNNNNNNNNNNNNNNNNNNNNNNNNNNNNNNNNNNNNNNNNNNNNNNNNNNNNNNNNNNNNNNNNNNNNNNNNNNNNNNNNNNNNNNNNNNNNNNNNNNNNNNNNNNNNNNNNNNNNNNNNNNNNNNNNNNNNNNNNNNNNNNNNNNNNNNNNNNNNNNNNNNNNNNNNNNNNNNNNNNNNNNNNNNNNNNNNNNNNNNNNNNNNNNNNNNNNNNNNNNNNNNNNNNNNNNNNNNNNNNNNNNNNNNNNNNNNNNNNNNNNNNNNNNNNNNNNNNNNNNNNNNNNNNNNNNNNNNNNNNNNNNNNNNNNNNNNNNNNNNNNNNNNNNNNNNNNNNNNNNNNNNNNNNNNNNNNNNNNNNNNNNNNNNNNNNNNNNNNNNNNNNNNNNNNNNNNNNNNNNNNNNNNAAUUUAAUUUUUUCUACUUUGCUUCUCGAGUGAAGAUAUAUAUCUCUAAGUUAAUAAUAACUUCCUAACAUAUGAAGUCUAGUUUUGAGGCAGUCAACUAAUAUGUUUGACAUAAAAAAAUAAUUCAUCAAAACAUAUAAAGACUAUGCUAGUUUUAAAUCGUUUUUGAAGAAGAUGAAGGUGUAAAAAUUAUUCAAAUCCAAAUUUAUAUAUAAGAUAUUAAUUACAUGGUGGGGACUCUGAUGCAUUAGUUUACAGGAUGCAUUAGUGUACUCCGAUGCAUUAUUAAAUUUAAAAAUUGUCAAUAAUAUUAUCGAGAAUUUAAUAAUUGUCAAUAAUAUUAUCGAUACUCUCAAGAUAGAUACGAAAGAUGAUGAACAACACUAAUUCAUUCCUACAAAUGGAAAUCCUAGCUGAACCACACCUUUGUCAACAAUUUUACGAAGAAAAAAAAAGGGGGAGAGGAAUAAAGAAAAUGGUGAGAUGUAUACAAAGAAGAUAAAAUGGGUUGGGAAUGGAUGAUGGAGAUCCACCCAAAACAUCAUCCAAAAUCCACUUCCCCAAUCCAAACCCAACCCUCCAUUUCUUCUCAUUUCAACUGAAAGAAUCCCAUUACUCACUCAUCAGUUGCUUCUUCCGCUGCAGCAAUGGCGUCUCUGAGAAACACCCUCACCUCCACUAAUCUCUUCUCCAAAUUCUCCACUUCCGCCCAUCAAUCAAACCACCAUCCCCUAACCAUCUCCUUCCCUUCUUCCUCUUCCUCCUCUAAUUUCCCCUCUCUUAACCUCCUCAACCGCCGCUCCCGCGGAGGAUUGAUCGUCGCCAUGUCUUCUCCCGUCUCCGAAAGCUACGCCACCGCCUUGCUCGAAGUCGCCCAGAACACCAACACCCUCGAGACCACCUCCGCCGACUUGGAGAAGCUGGCCACCGUCUUCGAAGACCCGGAGCUCUCCGAUUACUUCGCCAACCCCCUCAUCGACGACGACAAGAAGAAGUCCCUCGUCGAAGAGAUCGUCAAGUCCUUGUCUCUCCAGCAGCACGUCUCCAAUUUCCUCAACAUCAUCGUCGAAGGCCAGAGGGCGGAUUCCGUCACUGACAUUGUUAAGGAGUUUGAGGCUGCCUACAAUCGUUUGACCGACACCGAGCUCGCCCUGGUCAGCUCCGUCGUCAACCUCGAGUCUCAGCACUUGGCCCAGAUUGCCAAGCAGGUUCAGAAGCUGACCGGUGCUAAGAAUGUCAGGAUCAAGACUUCUCUGGAUCCUUCUUUGGUCGCUGGUUUUACUGUUCGCUAUGGCAACUCUGGUUCUAAGAUGAUUGAUAUGAGCGUCAAGAAGCAGUUGGAGGAGAUCGCUGCCCAGCUUGAAGUUGGUGAUAUUCAGCUCGCUGGUGUAUGAGCCAACUUUUUCCGUUAUUUGCUUCUCUCUAUAUUUGUAUUUUUUGUUCAUUUGGGAAGAAGAAAUACUCUCUCUAUGUUAUGUAUGUCUAAUUUUGAUGAAUGUUGAAGACCAAGUUAUUGAUCUAUGGCGUUGGUUCAAGAAUCUACCAACCAAGUUCGUAACUGUUACUGCAUACCUAAUAAUUCGUAUUUGAUGGACAACACUGAUUCUAUGAAAUAACCAGGGCGAAAAAAGUAGUAGUCUUUUCAAAUUUGUUACAAAGACAAGUACACACAUUCUCAUUCUGCUGCAAUAUUCUCGUUGCCAAGAACACUUGCAUCAGUUCCUGCAUUCUCUUCCUGAUCAACUGAAGAAUCCGAAAAAUCAAUUGGGUCGUGUGUAGCUUCAGCGUUGCCUCGGCCUUGGUUCUCUUCUGGGUUCUCCACUUGAAUUCCAACAUGCUUCACGUUUUCUUCACCUGUUGUUUCAUCAUCAACAGUCUGAUUAUGGGCACCAGAGUUCGAGUCGCUAGUAGAGUUUGAGGACUCUCCGUCUCCAGCUUCUGAGAUGAUUGGACUGGAAGUAGACGGAUCCUUACCAGAAACAGACUCAUCGUUGACCCUUUGAGGAUCGGUUGGCAGGUUGCCAGAAUCAGACUCAUCAUCGACUCUUUGAGGUUCGGUGGUGGUUUCGUCAGUUGGUAGGUUGGAUACUUCGUUAGUAGCAGAGCCUCCAGUUGUUGCAUUUCGCACCGAUGUCGAAUUUGCUAGCAAAGUAGUCUCCAUGCUAUUUUCGCCAGUUUCUGGGUUCACUGCAGCAGAUUCGUAGCUUUUUUGUUGAUGAUCAUCUGGUACCAUGGUGGAUGUGGUAUUAUCAGAGCUCGGAAGACUGAUUUUCUCAUCCUUCAGUUCACCAACUGUCUCAUCCGAAGAACUAUUUGCAGCAAUGUCACCUUGGUCCAGCUGUGAUGUCGAGUUCAGAUUUGCAGUAACACUAUUCUUGGCUAUCUCAUCUUCCUGUACAUCAGUUGUUCCAUUGGUGUUAUCCGAAAUUUCAUUACCAGAUUCAAUAGUCAGAGCAUCAUGAGCCACAGCGCUAGAAGCAUCGUCUGCUCUAUAAUUUUCCCCACGAGCCUCAUGGUCAUGAGUAUUCUGGCUUCCAUCGUCAUGAUCUGCGUCUUUGAGUGACGCUUCGUGGUCAACUUCAGCUUCUUUGCGAUCAUCUUUAUUAACUUCAUCCUCCUUUCCGUUAUCUUCGUCGGCUUUUUCUUUCUCCUCAUCUAUAGCAUCUUCCUCAACAUUUUCUGCUUCCAGUUUAUCAUGAUCAUGUUCAUCUAUCUCAUCAUCACCAUCUCCUCUGCCUUCUUCUUCACUCUCGUCAGUUUUCUUUUCCUCUUCUUGCACCUCUUCCUCAGGCUUAGUCUCAUCCUCGUCCAUUUCUUCAUCUUCCUGCUUACUAAUGUCUUCUCGCUCCUCAUCCUCAUGCUUAGUAACUUCAUGUUCUUGCUCUACCUCUUCUGCGUGUUUACUUUCUCCCCCAUUGAUGACUUCCUCCUCCACCACAGUGUCAUCGUCUUCAUCCUCCCCUGCUUUCUCAUUCUUGGCUACAUCAUCCACACGAGGUUGGAGGUCUUUCCUCCCGAACUUUGGUUUCUCAUGGUCACGUUGUCCUCUGGCAGCAACUUCGGCGUCUUUCUCAUCAAACUCCUUCUUGUCAUGAGAAUGCUUGACUUGGUAGAUUAACCAGAAACAGACGCCAAGCAACAGGCAAAUCUGCAGAACAUGUUUUACCUUGAUUCCUUUCGACCUAGAAUUUCUACUUGGAAACCGUUUAAUCAUUCUGGAUUGCUGCAAUGCACAACACUCUUCUCCUCCCUGCGUGUAGUAGUUAUAAAAGUGAAUCAACUGUAACUACUUGUACCUUUUUCAAACUAUUACCAAUUAUUACUGUUCUUUCCUCUUGUUUCGGUCAACGUAAGUGUUGGUUUUUUACUAGUUGAAAAUUCACCAAGCACCUAAGCUGAUAUCACACCCCUAUCUUAUCUUCACGAGAUAUUCAACUUCUUCAUAAAAAAAAAACAUAGAAUUGUACCAAGUUGCACAGAUAUACUACUACAUGAAUAGUGAAUACACCCAUUAUUAGGAGUAGGACACUUCACAUUGCAGCCAUCAAACACAAGAAGAAGGAGAGUGAUCUUGUUAAAGACCAGCCAGAUUAGUGAAUCCGGAAAUGCGAUGAUGUGUUCUUAGGAAACAAUAACAGCAGUUCCUUGAGGGGGAAAAAGGCUACACUUGCAACAUUAAAUGGUGGAGAAACAGUGGACAUUGAGCCUCAAAAGGGUACCUAGUUAGACUAAACAAUAACCAAGCACAGGGAAGGCAUAAAGGGCCUUCGAAUGGGUGUAAUUUAUCAGCAUGUUGCUGGAAGUAUAGUAGACAUUCAUGAAUCUAAAUCAUUAAGAUGAUUUAUAAGAACCCAAAACAAUAAGGCAAAAAAGGUAAAAGCAUCAAAUAUGGCACUUUGAGAGAAGUUAAGUUGGAAGCUUGGAAGGAAACCCUAAAUCACCGAAUCAAUUUCUCGCAAAAGUUCAGUUUGAAGCUUAGUUAAGAGCAAAAACACAAAUCGGAAAUCAGUAAAACCCAAACGCGGUGAAAGAAUUAAUAUUCUGAAACCCCCAACGACAUGCAAGGCUACAUGAAAUGAAAAGUGAUGAACUAACAAUAAGCGUCAGAUAGCCAUCCAAAGCGAGACAUUUCCAAUCUUACCUGGAAAAGAGAGAGAGAGAGUGGCGGCUGAACGAUGGAGACUGGGAAGUGAACUGAGGAGAAGAAAUCAAAGAAGGGUGUUGAGGAGGGAGCUUGAGCGGGUGAGGAUGGAGGAGGAUUAAUUAAUCUAAUAAUCGAUCGAUUGUUUUGUUGUGGAAGUAGGAAAGACCAGUUGGUUUCAUUAAAUUCUUUUCUUUCGUUUUCCUGAUGUAUGACAGUGGAGCAGGGAAAGGAAGGGAUCCGAUACUGCAGAGGAACUCGUGAAACAAAUUCACGACUCUCUCUCCCUCACUCCGUCGUCAUCUCCACCCGCUUUUUCAUCUCCCGAAUUCCUCCCCUUUUUCUUUGGGGUUGGAGGAAGAAAUUUAGGGCAUGGAGUUUUCUAUUACUUCCCAAAUUUUAUGUUUUCCUUCCAAAACUAAAUUAUCUCGUUUCUUUUAACUUUAUUUUUUUUAAAGAAUAUUUAGUAUAUUUUUAUUUCAUAAUUUUUUCUUAAGAACGUACCACCAAGAAAAAUUAAAAAUUAAAAAGUGUUGCACAACCAACCUUCAUUUUUUUAAUUCAGCUGAGAGUAUUACUUAUGGGGAUAAUUGGAAUGCUUUCAAGAACACGCUUAUGUUUGAUCUUUUCAGAUUAACCUGACAUUAAAUAAAUUUCUUGGUCCUAACCAACUUCGGAUUACCACCCUAUUGUUUGCACACAUACUCAACAUUCUUAUCCCAAUUGACACACAAUCUCAUCUCU
rnacentral:lncRNA from 1 species